AAAUUGAAGAGUUUGAUCAUGGCUCAGAUUGAACGCUGGCGGCAGGCCUAACACAUGCAAGUCGAACGGUAACAGGAAGCAGCUUGCUGCUUCGCUGACGAGUGGCGGACGGGUGAGUAAUGUCUGGGAAACUGCCUGAUGGAGGGGGAUAACUACUGGAAACGGUAGCUAAUACCGCAUAAUGUCGCAAGACCAAAGAGGGGGACCUUCGGGCCUCUUGCCAUCGGAUGUGCCCAGAUGGGAUUAGCUAGUAGGUGGGGUAACGGCUCACCUAGGCGACGAUCCCUAGCUGGUCUGAGAGGAUGACCAGCCACACUGGAACUGAGACACGGUCCAGACUCCUACGGGAGGCAGCAGUGGGGAAUAUUGCACAAUGGGCGCAAGCCUGAUGCAGCCAUGC
rnacentral:rRNA from 1 species